rnacentral:rRNA from 1 species
GAGAAAGAAAAUUCGAUUUCCUAAGUAGCGGCGAGCGAAAGGGAAACAGCCCAAACCUAGAUGGUUUACCAUUUAGGGGUUAGGACAGUCAACAAAUAAGAGGUAUCUUAGUCGAAAAGCUUUGGAAAAUGCUGCCGCAGAGGGUAAAAGCCCCGUAGACGAAAAAGAGAAGACUUUAUGACUGCACCAGAGUACCACGAGACACGUGAAACCUUGUGGGAAUAUCGGGGGACCACCCCCGAAGGCUAAAUACUACCCAGCGACCGAUAGAGAAUAGUACCGUGAGGGAAAGGUGAAAAGAACCCCGGGAGGGGAGUGAAAUAGAACCUGAAACCCUAUGCUUACAAGCUGUAGGAGUCCUUUAUAUGGAUGACUGCGUACUUUUUUGUAGAACGGGCCAACGAGUUGCAAUAUG